GACGUACGCUGGCGGCGUGCUUAACACAUGCAAGUCGAACGCUGAAGCUUGGUGCUUGCACUGGGUGGAUGAGUGGCGAACGGGUGAGUAAUACGUGAGUAACCUGCCCUUGACUCUGGGAUAAGCCUGGGAAACUGGGUCUAAUACUGGAUACGACAUGUCACCGCAUGGUGGUGUGUGGAAAGGGUUUUACUGGUUUUGGAUGGGCUCACGGCCUAUCAGCUUGUUGGUGGGGUAAUGGCUCACCAAGGCGACGACGGGUAGCCGGCCUGAGAGGGUGACCGGCCACACUGGGACUGAGACACGGCCCAGACUCCUACGGGAGGCAGCAGUGGGGAAUAUUGCACAAUGGGCGGAAGCCUGAUGCAGCGACGCCGCGUGAGGGAUGACGGCCUUCGGGUUGUAAACCUCUUUCAGCACGGAAGAAGCGAAAGUGACGGUACGUGCAGAAGAAGCGCCGGCUAACUACGUG
rnacentral:rRNA from 1 species